GGCAGGGGGCGGGGCGGGGCGGGGCUGUCACUCGGUCAGCAGCUGCUGGAGGAGGCUCUUCUGCUGGGCCUGGCUGGUCUGGGCGCCGGGCGGGGGGCCGGGACCCUUCUGGCCGGCGGCUGCAAUGGAGCCCUGACCCAGUGCCCCCAAACUGCUGCAUCAGACCAGCUUGCUGCUGCAACGAGGAGCCGCCACCGAAGGGCGGAGCCUGCACGCCGCCCAGCAACAUCGUCUGGCUAUUCAGUUUGCCGUCCAGGGGGCCACCCGGAAUAGGCGCCCCCGCCGGCAUGGGGCCACUGAAGUGACCGGGUGAGGGACCCUGGCGACGACGGCGGCGGCGGCGGAAACGGCGCCCCCCGCGGGUGAGGCUGUGGCCAUGUUCUGUCUCAUCAGCAUGACCUUCUGCUGGAAAAGCUGACGCUGACGGUGCUGGAUGCUGUACAGCUCCCUCUGACGCUGAGCCAGCAUCUGAGCAUUUAGUGGAGGCUGGGAGCGGAGGGCAAACAAUGUGUUAAAGGCCACUUCCAUCAAAUUUAAGGCCUCGCCUUCACUCGGCAUAAAGAACAGUAAUAUUUCAAGCUCCAUAAAACAGGUAUAAAGCAUUUUUACAGUCAUUCAUCUAUUAAUUUAUCAAUGCAAACUUUCUAUAUCUAUACUUAACACUUUUUUUUUUAUUAUUGAAAAAAUAUAACAGUUGGAAACUUAAAAGUUACUUUCUUUUUUGAAAUCAGAUAUCAAAAUGUUCUCAAUUGAAAUUACGUGAAAUGUCAUCCAUUUUUUCCAGCCUCCAACAAACCACCACAAUUAAUUUUGUUACGUUUUUGAUAAAGAAAAAUAGCACUGUCCUGUAAAAUGUGAAUAUUAAAACAUAAUGAAAGAGAAUAUAAAAACUUUACACUGGUUUACAUGAAUGAAAUGAACCUUAUUUUUCAUUUUGUAUUUGUGUGAAUG